GAUGAACGCUGGCGGCGUGCCUACUACAUGCAAGUCGAGCGAACAGACGAGGAGCUUGCUCCUUCGACGUUAGCGGCGGACGGGUGAGUAACACGUAGGUAACCUACCUAUAAGACUGGGAUAACUUCGGGAAACCGGAGCUAAUACCGGAUAAUAUUUCGAACCGCAUGGUUCGAUAGUGAAAGAUGGCUUUGCUAUCACUUAUAGAUGGACCUGCGCUGUAUUAGCUAGUUGGUAAGGUAACGGCUUACCAAGGCAACGAUACGUAGCCGACCUGAGAGGGUGAUCGGCCACACUGGAACUGAGACACGGUCCAGACUCCUACGGGAGGCAGCAGUAGGGAAUCUUCCGCAAUGGGCGAAAGCCUGACGGAGCAACGCCGCGUGAGUGAUGAAGGUCUUCGGAUCGUAAAACUCUGUUAUUAGGGAAGAACAAACGUGUAAGUAACUGUGCACGUCUUGACGGUACCUAAUCAGAAAGCCACGGCUAACUACGUG
rnacentral:rRNA from 1 species